AGACCCGAAACCCGGUGAUCUAGCCAUGGGCAGGUUGAAGGUUGGGUAACACUAACUGGAGGACCGAACCGACUAAUGUUGAAAAAUUAGCGGAUGACCUGUGGCUGGGGGUGAAAGGCCAAUCAAACCGGGAGAUAGCUGGUUCUCCCCGAAAGCUAUUUAGGUAGCGCCUCGUGAAUUCAUCUCCGGGGGUAGAGCACUGUUUCGGCUAGGGGGCCAUCCCGGCUUACCAACCCGAUGCAAACUGCGAAUACCGGAGAAUGUUAUCACGGGAGACACACGGCGGGUGCUAACGUCCGUCGUGAAGAGGGAAACAACCCAGACCGCCAGCUAAGGUCCCAAAGUCAUGGUUAAGUGGGAAACGAUGUGGGAAGGCCCAGACAGCCAGGAUGUUGGCUUAGAAGCAGCCAUCAUUUAAAGAAAGCGUAAUAGCUCACUGGUCGAGUCGGCCUGCGCGGAAGAUGUAACGGGGCUAAACCAUGCACCGAAGCUGCGGCAGCGACACUCAGGUGUCGUUGGGUAGGGGAGCGUUCUGUAAGCCUGCGAAGGUGGCCUGUGAGGGUUGCUGGAGGUAUCAGAAGUGCGAAUGCUGACAUAAGUAACGAUAAAGCGGGUGAAAAGCCCGCUCGCCGGAA
rnacentral:rRNA from 1 species